UCAACACACAGUGAUUGACAGUUUUAUCAAGGAGAUUACUGAAACUGCUGAGCUAAAUGAAAUGCUCCCUACUUUCCAUGAGCGCUUUAAGGAGAUUUUUUUCUAAAUGAUGACAAUAAUUACAAAUGUGCGUUGAAGGAAAGGAUAAUAAAGAGACCAGGAUAUGUAUGCACUACAGCAUAGGUGAGAAGGAUGACAAAUAUUCUAGUUGAAAUAACUCGACGUUAGAAGAUGGUACUUUUAUUAACGGCUUCGACUGAUCACAGUUGUGUCCGUAUGAGGCAUCAGACAAAUUUCACUAUCUGCGCGCACAUCACGCCUCGUACUACAGCUUCAGAUGCACCUACUAAAAGAAAAGAAUUGGAUCCCCGAUGUGGCCCCGCCGUACUCUUGAAGAUUUUGAUUUGUACAUUAUCUAAGAUUGCUUUUUCUAAAGUUACAGCUUUUCUAAGCAAAUAUUUUUUAAAAAGAUUUUUCUUUAUAUAUUUUGUACCCCCAUCCCCCGUUGUGACCCCAUCCUACCCCCAAAGAUCAUGAUUUGAACAAACUUGAAUCAACUCUACAUGAGGAUGCUUCCACACAAGUUUCAGCUUUUCUGCAUAAUUGGUCCCUGAAAACAAGAUUUUAAAAGAUUUUUCUAGAUUCCUAUGUAAAAAUUCAAACCCCCAUAGUGGACCCACUACAUCCGGGGACAUUGGUUGGAACAAAUCUGAAUUAACCCUACCGAAGGAAGCUUUCACAAAAGUUUCAGAUUUCCCGGCUGAUUAAUUUUUGAGAAGAAAAUUUUUAAAUAUUUCAUCUAUAUAUUCCUACGGAGAAAUUAGACCCUAUUGUGGCCUCACCCUACGCAUGGGGUAAUGAAUUUCAUAUCUUCAAUUCUACACUACCUGAGGAUGCUAUCACAUAAGUUUUAGACUUCCUGGCAAAAUGGUUAUUGAGAAAACGAUUUUUGAAAAUUUCUCAAAAAGAACUAUAUAU